GGCUGUUUAUACAAAAAAUAAAUCAAUUAAUGUUUUGUUCGUACAGUAUUGGUAAAAUCAUAGGUAAGGCCUAUUAUUGCUCUUUGUUUUUGCUGCCUCCAAACAAAACUGUCUGAAAACAUCUGUUUAAACAGAUUUUGCAAGAAUUGUUUUAAAUGUAUUUAUCAUUGAAAGAAUUGUUCAUUAUUUGUUGAUGUUAACAAAAGGAACCUUAUUAUAAAGUGUUAACAUGAGGACAAUUUUUUUUUUUUUUUUUUAGAACCUGCUUUUAAGGGGGGUUCUGUAUUGUGAAAUAGGAAGAGUCAGAAUUUGUCCCAUGAGUUUUGUGAACAUGGAACUUUCUUGGACUUUAAUAAAACAGUGUUUGGAGUUUCUUCUCUGACAGGUUGAAGGAGACAAAUGAGGAGAUUCGCAGCCCACCUGAAGCCCUGGAGAACGCUGCCCGAGCAGGCAUGCCAGCGGAGGCCCCUACUAAUAUCAGGCCUCCUACAUGACUGACAUCUGCCUCCUAGGCCUCCUCAUGACUGACAUCUGCCUCCUACCCCUCUAUUAGGACAUCACCAGCAGCUUGAAGGGGGGGAAAAAAACAUGGAGAACCCACACAACAACGAGGGCUACAUGCUAUCAAGGUGCCUAAACAGGUGAUUAAGUCUACAUUUUCUGGCCUCCUGUUGUGAGAAGUAAUACUGAUGUCGACUCUGGAGAAUGGAGGCAUGGUGAAGGUUCCUCUGGUGAGCGCCUGCCCUUUGGUGACCUUGUCCAUCUGAGGCAUCUGCGGCUCAGUGGAGCGUUUCCUGGCCGUCUCAUGCUCUAUCAGUCCCAAUGAAGGAACACAGCACCAGACCGGACCCGCAUGGCAAUAAGGGGUGCUGGAGUCAACCCGAUCCGACAGCCUAGCUCACCCCUCUGGUCUAAGGGUCAACGCUGGGGUCAUUCAGCACCUAGAGUCACCCUGGGUAAUUCUGGAUGCACUCAUGAUAUGAAGACUCCCUUGAUGUCCUUUCGAUUGGCAUUAUAUGCAAGGACAGGUUUAAUCAAAAGUGCAGGGAACAGGAGUCAUUCUGCCCUCGGUUCCUGCUGAAGACAGCCAUCAGACACAACAGGGUGAUGCUGGGUACAGUUGCCAUGGAAAUCCAAGUUCGUAGACCACAUGCCACAAGGUUCAGUGGCUCAAAAAAUCUCAAAUGAACUGAUGCAACAAUCUGCACACAAUUAACUCUCACACUGCUUUUUCAGCUGUUUGCUUUGUAAAUGAAUGCCUUCUAUUUCAGUUCUGUUCCCCCUAGUUUACUAUAUACUUUUCUAAACUACUAUUCUUGAGGCAUACAGCUGCAUUUUAUGUUACUGUACACUAAAUCUUGGUUAUAUACAGAUGUUAUUUUAGUUGAACUGUUUCUUUUUUCACUGAGGUAUCAGUGUUCGGCUGAUGAGCUGGUAUGUAGAUGUCCACAGCCAAAAGUAGCCAUGCAUUCUUAAAAUAUUAAAUAUUUUGCCCAGUAAACAUAUAAAUCAUUAUUUCUUUAUACUUUAGUAGAUGACUUAUAUUUGACGUCACAGCUCAGGAUAGUUGCUAGUGAAGGGCUUGGGAUGAGACUGAGAUAAAUGGGAAUGUUAUACUGUAGAUAUACAGUAUAGAGGUUUUAUUAUAGAAGUUGUUGUCCUCAGUGCACAGUUGUGCAAAUAUGUCAAACUCUGCCCCCUAGUGGUGGACUGUGAUAUGGGUGUUAAUGUUUGAGAAGAGGGAUGGUUCACUUUCACUGCUGUAAUAUGUUAUGUAAUUUAAAACACUUCGAUUGAUCGAUUGACUUCGACUAAUUGCUCUAAAAGACAAACCUUGAGACUGUAUUGCUUUCGGUGAUCAUUUGUGCUUUUUGAUUUGUUUGAUGUUUAUUUCCGCAAACUCCAUGCAAUAUUUUUGCACAGUGAGGUCAGGCCCUAAUUAUUAGAGUGAACAAAUGUUAUGGUGACCAUAUAAAAAAAAAAAAAGGAAAUCUUGGACAUUUCCUAUUCGGUGGUCAAAAUAUCAAAAUGCACUUUUGUAUGUAUUGUAUUUAAUAUUUUCAAUUUCACACACUAAAUACACUGUAAAAAUGAUAUGAUCAAUAAGUCAUGGUAACAUUUUUUUUUCUCCAAUACUUUAACUCAUUAAAAUAAUUUAACCAAUUUCAACUUCAUUUUUUAAGUUACAAGGAAUUAAACUCAAUUGUUUUAAGUAAGUUUAAUAUAAUUUAAGUUUAAAUGACUUCUGUG
rnacentral:lncRNA from 1 species